rnacentral:rRNA from 1 species
UCCAGACUCCUACGGGAGGCAGCAGUGGGGAAUAUUGCACAAUGGGGGGAACCCUGAUGCAGCGACGCCGCGUGAGUGAAGAAGUAUUUCGGUAUGUAAAGCUCUAUCAGCAGGGAAGAUAAUGACGGUACCUGACUAAGAAGCCCCGGCUAACUACGUGCCAGCAGCCGCGGUAAUACGUAGGGGGCAAGCGUUAUCCGGAUUUACUGGGUGUAAAGGGUGCGUAGGUGGCAGGGCAAGUCAGAUGUGAAAGCCCGGGGCCCAACCCCGGUACUGCAUUUGAAACUGCCCGGCUGGAGUGCAGGAGAGGUAAGCGGAAUUCCUAGUGUAGCGGUGAAAUGCGUAGAUAUUAGGAGGAACACCAGUGGCGAAGGCGGCUUACUGGACUGUAACUGACACUGAGGCACGAAAGCGUGGGGAGCAAACAGGAUUAGAUACCCCAGUA